UACGUAGGGAGCGAGCGUUGUCCGGAAUCAUUGGGCGUAAAGCGCGUGUAGGCGGCCCGGAAAGUCUGGUGUGAAAACCUGGGGCUCAACCCCAGGCUGUCACUGGAUACUGUCGGGCUUGAAUCCGGAAGAGGAGAGUGGAAUUCCUGGUGUAGCGGUGGAAUGCGCAGAUAUCAGGAGGAACACCAAUGGCGAAGGCAGCUCUCUGGUACGUGAUUGACGCUGAGACGCGAAAGCGUGGGGAGCAAACAGG
rnacentral:rRNA from 1 species